rnacentral:snRNA from 1 species
AAAUAGUUAAUGAUACAAU